GUUUAGCAAUGUUUCCUGUUCCCAUUUUUUCCUCUCACAAAACACUACAAUUUUGAAGUUUAGACUCGUAUAGCAAGUAUGAAUUAGUGGAUACUGUGUCAGAAUGAGAUUGCCUGCAGUGACAUUGUCAUCUUUAUUUUGGUCUCUGGCCGGUAAGGACUCUUGUACUUUCUUCCUUACAGAAUUUCAAAGAUUUUUUUUUAAAAAAAGAUGUACAUAUAUGCAGUUCUUAAUUCUCAGAAAAACUCAUAACAGAUUUUAAACUUAUUUGUUGAUAUUAUGUAAAUAGUUGCAUUUGUAUAUUGGGGAUGUUUGUCAAAAUUAUUAUGUUUUGGUCCAAAGGCAUUUGAAAAAGCUGAACAACAGUGUGAUGCCCAUAAAAAGGGAUUUGGGAGUCUCUGGCUGUGUGGUUAGCAGUGUUAAUAUCUCUCUUUCCUUGUAUGGCCGUCAACAGUUUUGCUGUUAUGGUCAGCAAUACCAUCACAGACAUCAACAUUUAUUUGACACUUCUCCCCCAAAGCAACUUACAGUGUUAAGGUACCUACAACUAUUUACCCAUUUAUACAGCUGAGUAGUUUUACUUGAGCGGUUUAGGGCACUACAGCAGUAGGUGAUAUUCAGACCUGUUACCUUUAGAUCCAAAGGCAACAGCUCUAACCAUUACACUGCUUCCUAAAUAUAAGGGUUGUGAAGAGGAAGUGUGUGUUUUUCUGUGUGCAUCUCAAAAGCUCGCCAGUACUAGAGCGAACCGAGACUUGUCGUUCGUCCUGUCUGUAUCGGGUCCUGCUGGUAAAUACCGGAUCAUGUGCCCCUAAGCGUGGCCAGGAUACCCAUCUGAUGCCCAAUCACCAAAGAGCAGCAAGCUACGACUGGUGGAUGACGGCGAUGCCAUGGCCUGUUCUGGCCUGCUGGAGCUGAAAUAUCAACAGAGAUGGCAGUACCUAUGUGCUAUAAACUGGAGUGAGGCCAUGACCCUGCUGGCCUGUAGUGGCAUCGAGUGCGGGAAGCCUGUCUCUCACUACUUCACCAGCAGUGGUACUCCCUUCACUGGGCUGGGGCUCUCCUGUCAGGGCCAGGAGACGUCACUGCUCCACUGUGCCAAGAAGAGGAAAUCUUGUAUCACCAGAGUGGCCGUUGUGUGCGGGACAGGUAACUCAGGAGUUACCGAACAGCAGCAAUACACCACGGUGACCGAAUCGCCUUCCCCCGUCGCCAUUGCUGGGCUCUUACCUUGGCUGCGCACCGUUCUCCUGCUUUGCGGACUGGCUGCCAUGGUGCUUUCUGUCAUUGCUGUGGAGAUACUGGCCAGGAGACGCAGAGGUGAGCUCGUCACCUUUACCUGAUGCUUUCCUCCACAGCAUCUUACAAUGUUACCAGCUGCCUAAUUUUACUGGAGCAAUUUACGGUAAGUACCUUGCUCAUGGCUGCUACAACAGUAGGUGAGAUUUGAACCGGCAACCUUCGGACCCAAAAGCCGCAGCUCAUAUCACUACAGAUGCUCCUCAACUUACGAUGGUUCGACUUCACGAUGGUGAGCUAACGAUAGACAUUCAGUAGGAACCGUAGCCUACUUCAAAUUUUGAAUUUUGAUUUUUUCCUGGGCAAGCGAUAUGCGGUGCGAUACUUUCUCACGAUGCUGGGCAGCGGCUGCGAUCCGCAUCUCCCAUUCUGCCUCAUGGUUGCUAGUGUUUUGUGCAUCCAUAAAGCCACAGAAACACCCAUCUGUGUCUCCUGCUACUGGUGGGAAGAAGAAGAGGAGGGUGAUUAGGUCAAUAGAUCUACUCCCGGCUAUUUACAGGACUUGAUCAACCGGUACACCCCAGCCAGGCCCCUUCGCUCAUCUACUUCUGCUCGCUUGGUUGUCCCGCACAUAAAAGGCAAAGCUCGGAGGUUCUCGGUUCUGGCUCCGUUGUGGUGGAAUGACCUUCCCCUGUCACUCAGAACUGCGGAAACACUGUCUCUUUUCAAGAAGGGUCUGAAAACCCACCUUUUCCAGAUCCACUUCGCUCAAGAUCUCUCCAGCUCAUCUAUGGUGUAACUGUUCACGCAUCGUAACUCCAGAAGCAUCCCCAGAUACAACCCUUAUUCAGCCAUUACUCUGGUAUUGUACUGCUCAUUUGUGUAUCUUAUAAUAAUUAAUUUAAAAAAAAAAAAAUUG
rnacentral:lncRNA from 1 species